CGGGACACGUGGUAUCCUGUCUGAAUAUGGGGGGACCAUCCUCCAAGGCUAAAUACUCCUGACUGACCGAUAGUGAACCAGUACCGUGAGGGAAAGGCGAAAAGAACCCCGGCGAGGGGAGUGAAAAAGAACCUGAAACCGUGUACGUACAAGCAGUGGGAGCCUCUUAAUGGGGUGACUGCGUACCUUUUGUAUAAUGGGUCAGCGACUUAUAUUCUGUAGCAAGGUUAACCGAAUAGGGGAGCCGAAGGGAAACCGAGUCUUAACUGGGCGUUAAGUUGCAGGGUAUAGACCCGAAACCCGGUGAUCUAGCCAUGGGCAGGUUGAAGGUUGGGUAACACUAACUGGAGGACCGAACCGACUAAUGUUGAAAAAUUAGCGGAUGACUUGUGGCUGGGGGUGAAAGGCCAAUCAAACCGGGAGAUAGCUGGUUCUCCCCGAAAGCUAUUUAGGUAGCGCCUCGUGAAUUCAUCUCCGGGGGUAGAGCACUGUUUCGGCAAGGGGGUCAUCCCGACUUACCAACCCGAUGCAAACUGCGAAUACCGGAGAAUGUUAUCACGGGAGACACACGGCGGGUGCUAACGUCCGUCGUGAAGAGGGAAACAACCCAGACCGCCAGCUAAGGUCCCAAAGUCAUGGUUAAGUGGGAAACGAUGUGGGAAGGCCCAGACAGCCAGGAUGUUGGCUUAGAAGCAGCCAUCAUUUAAAGAAAGCGUAA
rnacentral:rRNA from 1 species